UACGGAGGGUGCAAGCGUUAUCCGGAUUUACUGGGUUUAAAGGGUGCGUAGGUGGGUUGUAAGUCAGUGGUGAAAUCUCCGAGCUUAACUCGGAAACUGCCAUUGAUACUAUAGAUCUUGAAUUAUCUGGAGGUAAGCGGAAUAUGUCAUGUAGCGGUGAAAUGCUUAGAUAUGACAUAGAACACCAAUAGCGAAGGCAGCUCGCUGGGACGGUACGUGAACACUAAGGCGCGAAAGCGUGGGGAGCGAACAGG
rnacentral:rRNA from 1 species